rnacentral:lncRNA from 1 species
GGUGGCAGUUCCAGGAAUUGGCUCUGCAGCAGGAAUGCUCUGCCACGCCCAAGCCAUUUAGCCUCUCUCAUCUGUAAAAUAACAAUAGGAAUAUUACUUAACACAUGAGAUAUUAAAUGAGAUACUACAUGUAAGGGACUUAGAACAAUGCCAGGCAGAGAGCAGGUACUCAAUACAUUUUAGCUGUAAUUGUUAUUAUUCAAAAUGAAUAUAUAGAUAUAGAACUAAACACACACAAACACAUGCACACACAAGUGAAAGUGAAACUAGAAAAAUCAGAAUAUGAUGGGUUGGUUGUAGCAAUUGUCAAUGUACUGCUUGUGAUAGUAUGCAAAAACGUUAACACUGGGGGAAACUAAGUACAUGUAGGAUCUAUGUAUUCUUUCUUUCUUUCUUUUUUUUUUUUUUUCAGAGACAGGAUCUCACUCUGUUGCCUAGGCUGGAGAGCAGUAGUACAAUCAUAGCCCACUGCAGCCUUGAACUCCUGGGUUUAAGUGAUCCUCCUGCCUCAACCUCCCAAGUAGCUGGGACUACAGGCGUGUGCCACCACACUUCCUCACUUUUAAAUUUUUAUUUUCAUAGAGACAAGGUCUCUCUCUCUUUUAGUUUUUACCAUAGAACUUGGAGUUUUAUUACAUUUUCUUUCAUUGCUGAGAACUCCCUGGGGCUUGAGAUAUGACUGUGGAUCACACAACUCAUAAGAUCAGAAGCCUGACCCAGGCUCUCUAAUUCUAAGGCCAGUGCAAUUUCUGUUAACCAAGCUUAUCCCAGAGAAACAAAAACUGGCUGAAAGAUGGAAAAUAUGGUCCAGAUGAAGGUCUGUUCAAUCAAAUAGUAUGUUACACACAUUACAAUGUAUUCACAGGCUGGGGGGCUUUCUCAAGAAUAGAGUCCAGAAAAUUAGUCUGCGGAAGGCAGUUUGGGGUUUGGUCUCUAUCACUUAAGGGAAGAGGUAAAAACAUGUGUUGAGUGCUUGCUCUAAGGAUGGUGUUAGCGUAAGCUAUUUCUGUAUAGGUGAUUAUUGUUAUUCACAGUAGUUAAAUUUUAUAAAGUUGCUGUGAACCCUGAAAUAGCAAAUACUGAACCAUUGCUCCUAGGGGAAAUACAGGGUUAGGUUCCUGCAAGCCUCUGGUCACAGCAUUGUUGUUAAUUGGUCAAUACAUAGCCAUGUUUUAUGUGUGUUUCUGUUUAAGGACAGAAAUCAAUAUAUAUUGUUAAUUCAUUACAUUGAACUUUUGGCCAACGGCACUAUGGCUUCAUGCCUGAACUUAGCUUAUCUAACAUGCACAUUUUCUCUAGAAGGCAUGUCACAGCCUUCUUGCACUUAGGAACACUAGAUAGCACUUCAGCACUAUGUUUGUGGAGG